GUAGAACGCUGAAGAGAGGAGCUAGCUCCCCGGGUGACAGCGGCGGACGGGUGAGUAACGCGUAGGUAACUGCCUUGUAGCGGGGGAUAACUAUUGGAAACGAUAGCUAAUACCGCAUAACAAUGGAUGACACAUGUCAUUUAUUUGAAGGGGCAAUUGCUACUACAAGAUGGACCUGCGUUGUAUUAGCUAGUAGGUGAGGUAAUGGCUCACCUAGGCGACGAUACAUAGCCGACCUGAGAGGGUGAUCGGCCACACUGGGACUGAGACACGGCCCAGACUCCUACGGGAGGCAGCAGUAGGGAAUCUUCGGCAAUGGGGGCAACCCUGACCGAGCAACGCCGCGUGAGUGAAGAAGGUUUUCGGAUCGUAAAGCUCUGUAAGUCAAGAACGGGUGUGAGAGUGGAAAGUUCACACUGUGACGGUAGCUUACCAGAAAGGGACGGCUAACUACGUGCCAGCAGCCGCGGUAAUACGUAGGUCCCGAGCGUUGUCCGGAUUUAUUGGGCGUAAAGCGAGCGCAGGCGGUUUGAUAAGUCUGAAGUUAAAGGCUGUGGCUCAACCAUAGUUCGCUUUGGAAACUGUCAAACUUGAGUGCAGAAGGGGAGAGUGGAAUUCCAUGUGUAGCGGUGAAAUGCGUAGAUAUAUGGAGGAACACCGGUGGCGAAAGCGGCUCUCUGGUCUGUAACUGACGCUGAGGCUCGAAAGCGUGGGGAGCGAACAGGAUUAGAUACCCUGGUAGUCCACGCCGUAAACGAUGAGUGCUAGGUGUUGGAUCCUUUCCGGGAUUCAGUGCCGCAGCUAACGCAUUAAGCACUCCGCCUGGGGAGUACGACCGCAAGGUUGAAACUCAAAGGAAUUGACGGGGGCCCGCACAAGCGGUGGAGCAUGUGGUUUAAUUCGAAGCAACGCGAAGAACCUUACCAGGUCUUGACAUCCCGAUGCUAUUUCUAGAGAUAGAAAGUUACUUCGGUACAUCGGUGACAGGUGGUGCAUGGUUGUCGUCAGCUCGUGUCGUGAGAUGUUGGGUUAAGUCCCGCAACGAGCGCAACCCUUAUUGUUAGUUGCCAUCAUUCAGUUGGGCACUCUAGCGAGACUGCCGGUAAUAAACCGGAGGAAGGUGGGGAUGACGUCAAAUCAUCAUGCCCCUUAUGACCUGGGCUACACACGUGCUACAAUGGUUGGUACAACGAGUUGCGAGUCGGUGACGGCGAGCUAAUCUCUUAAAGCCAAUCUCAGUUCGGAUUGUAGGCUGCAACUCGCCUACAUGAAGUCGGAAUCGCUAGUAAUCGCGGAUCAGCACGCCGCGGUGAAUACGUUCCCGGGCCUUGUACACACCGCCCGUCACACC
rnacentral:rRNA from 1 species